rnacentral:rRNA from 1 species
GACGAACGCUGGCGGCGUGCUUAACACAUGCAAGUCGAGCGGUAAGGCCCUUCUGGGUACACGAGCGUCGAACGGGUUAGUAACACGUGAGUAAUUUGCCCAUCACUUCGGGAUAACUCCGGGAUACCGGUGCUAAUACCUUAUUUGACCACUUCAUGCUUCUUAUGGUUGUGGAAAGUUCCGGCGGUGUUUGAUGUGCUCGACGCCUAUCACCUUGUUGGUGGGGUAGUGGUAUACCAAGGCUUCGACGGGUAGCCGGCCUGCGAGGGUGAACAGCCACAGUGGGACUGAGAGAGGGCCCAGACGGCGACGGGAGGCAGCAGGGGGAAAUAUGGGACAAUGGGCGAAAGCGUGAUCCAGCAACGCCGCGAGAGGGAAGACGGCCUUCGGGUUGUAAACGUCUUUGAGCAGGGACGAAGCGAAAGUGACGGUACCUGCAGAAGAAGCACCGGCCAACUACGUG